CCUACGGGAGGCAGCAGUGGGGAAUUUUGGACAAUGGACGCAAGUCUGAUCCAGCAAUGCCGCGUGCAGGACGAAGGCCUUCGGGUUGUAAACUGCUUUUGUACGGAACGAAACGGUCUGCUUUAAUACAGUGGGCUAAUGACGGUACCGUAAGAAUAAGCACCGGCUAACUACGUGCCAGCAGCCGCGGUAAUACGUAGGGUGCGAGCGUUAAUCGGAAUUACUGGGCGUAAAGCGUGCGCAGGCGGUUAUAUAAGUCAGAUGUGAAAUCCCCGGGCUCAACCUGGGACCUGCAUUUGAGACUGUAUAGCUAGAGUACGGUAGAGGGGGAUGGAAUUCCGCGUGUAGCAGUGAAAUGCGUAGAUAUGCGGAGGAACACCGAUGGCGAAGGCAAUCCCCUGGACCUGUACUGACGCUCAUGCACGAAAGCGUGGGGAGCAAACAGGAUUAGAUACCCUGGUAGUCCACGCCCUAAACGAUGUCAACUGGUUGUUGGGUCUUCACUGACUCAGUAACGAAGCUAACGCGNGAGUAGACGCGNGGNGGUAACGGUCGCGAGUUAGUAACGUUACAAUAGAGUUGNGGNGNGAGAGNGCGAGGACGACGACGAGGGAGGAGG
rnacentral:rRNA from 1 species